GUGCUCUUGAUGGGUAGACAGUACCUGCUCCAAAUGUGGCCCCAUGGUUGUUGCUCACGAAAGUAAAAAUUCAAGAGGUACACCUCAUUCACUUAUUUCUGUAUUUUUGCUCUGUCCCAAUCAUUGAUCUUGUGUAAUAUUGAUGUACUUUAAUUGUCAAUAAACUCCACAAUAAUAUGACUUCAACUUUACUAUUUCUAUCAUUCCUUUGACGCAGUAGUCUCUCUUUUAGUAAUACCUUUUAUGAAGAAAGAACAAGUCCAGGAAAGUUUGCCUACCAUUUUUUAGAUUUCAUGCAUCUUUUGUAAAACAUAACACACUUAAGGUGGGUUGAAAAUACAAGUCAAAAUUUGUGAUCUAGAAAUUUAAAGAUUAUCAAUACAUUUAUUGAAAUUCACAACAUUUGUUCCUUUAUAGCAAUUUUUUUCAAUGUGUCUCUUACUUCUAUUUAAUCUCAUCGUAUUGCCUCUGAUUAGAUUUAUUUUAAAUGGAUUUAAAACAAUUAAUGACAACACGAAAUAUUUAUUCUAAGCAAUCAAGACCACCACAUUUUUUCAACCAAC
rnacentral:lncRNA from 1 species